rnacentral:sRNA from 1 species
UGAGAAUUGGGACAGUUUGCUCCUGGGGGAGCUUUCAGACACCCCCAAAGGAGAACGUUCUUCCAAGCUCCUCUCUGCUCUCAACAGCCACAAGGACCGUUUCAUUUCAGGGAGAGAGAUUAAGAAGAGGAAAUGUUUGUUUGGUCUCCAUGCUCGGAUGCCUCCCCCUGUGGAGCCCCCUACUGGAGAUGGAGCACUCACCAGGUCACUGGUCCAGGGGGGAUGGGGGAAAUUCUCAGGGUGUUAGUCCUGGGGGGUAUAUGUAUAGAGAUGGGGAGGUCUUGGGGGUGUCCGGGAGGGGGCUGGGGGGAUAAGGAGGCCUCUUACAGCUUCCCUUCAGGGCAGGGCCCUGGGGGAGGGGUCUCACGUCCCCUGGGGAAGCGCCGGAGGCCGGAACCAGAGCCCCUGAGGAGGAGGCAGAAGGGGAAAGUGGAGGAGCUGGGGCCACCCUCAGCAGUGCGCAAUCAGCCCGAGCCCCAGGAGCACAGGGAGCGGGCUCAUCUACAGAGGGCACUGCAGGCCUCAGUGUCUCCACCAUCCCCCAGCCCUAACCAGAGUUACCAGGGCAGCAGCGGCUACAACUUCCGGCCCACAGAUGCCCGCUGCCUGCCCAGCAGCCCCAUCCGGAUGUUUGCUUCCUUCCACCCUUCUGCCAGCACCGCAGGGACCUCUGGGGACGGUGAACCCCCAGACAGGUCACCCCUGGAACUUCACAUUGGUUUCCCCACAGACAUCCCUAAAAGUGCCCCCCACUCGAUGACUGCCUCAUCUUCCUCAGUCUCAUCCCCAUCCCCAGGUCUUCCUAGACGCUCAGCACCCACUUCUCCCCUGUGCCGUAGUUUGUCUCCUGGGACUGGGGGAGGAGUCCGAGGUGGGGUUGGUUACCUGUCCCGAGGGGACCCUGUCCGGGUCCUUGCUCGGAGAGUACGGCCUGAUGGCUCUGUGCAGUACCUGGUUGAGUGGGGAGGAGGGGGCAUCUUCUGAACAGCCUGCCUCUGCCCAGCUCCCCAUUCACACACACCGGCACUUUCAUACCCUGACCUCUGACCUCACCUACAGCUGGGAUGUACCUGGAGAGAUGGGGGUAGUUCUCCCUAC